AGAAGAAAAACCAAAAAGAGGUGAAUUUUUGUUAAUAAUUUUAUUGGGGCACUCCUUCUUCUG
rnacentral:tRNA from 1 species